UUUUUUUUCGUGAUUGAUGGUCAAUAAUUAUAAACUGGUAAAACUUGUUUUUGCAUAGAUCGAAUGAAUUUGUUUGAUUCGAUUCACGAUUAGAGAUCAAAUGAGGUUGUUUAAUUUGAUUCACGAUUUUAAAUUUAUUUAUGACUACGGAGCUAGGGAUUUGGAUAGAUUUUUUUAAUCUUUUGUUUCACUGGUUUCUAGGGUUUGUGGGUUCUUAGAUUUUUGAACUUAGCUCAUCUGCUUAUGAUCCUUGUUAUAGAUUCAGAUCUUGGGUUCACGUUAUGCAGCUAGUUUCGUUUUCAGAUUUGAAAAUUUAUCUGCUUAUGACCCUUUAAGUCUAUUUAUGAGAAUGAAUCAAAUAUUUGUAGAUUGAAAUUUCAGUGUCUGGUUGAUUAAAGAUUAGCUAGUUGUUUAUGAAGGUGGACUAGAACUAGCUAUUCUUGUGUUAUGCAGCUAGUUAGUUUUGCUGUACUUUGAUUUGUAUAUGUAGUUGUUAUGCUCGUUCAUUGUUUUGGAAUUGUUCAAAGUGUACUGAAAUAUAUAGACUCAAUGAUAUAGUGUUUCCUGGUUUGCCAUGUGAUCAUUGCUAACUUCAACAGCAUAAAAUCACCAUACAUUAUCUGAUGCGCAAGAACUGAUUACAUGUAGGAAGGGGAUUAGAACAUGGUAGAAAGAAAGAGAAGUCUAAUGCGCAAGAACUGAUUACAUGUAGGAGGGGGAUUAUAUAACAUGGUAUAAAGAAAGAGAAGUAUUAUGUAGAAGUGUUGAGGUUUGAGAGGGAACUUAAUAACAAGAAGUUAGAUUAAUCAUUUACUUUAAGCUCAUAACAUUUUAAAAACUGAGAAAACACUAACUUGUUAGUUAAUGAAUGACCUGAAAAAUUGGUAUUGACUUCUUUCGAUACAUACACAUUGGCUUCUGAUUUGCACCUCAGUAGCAAGAUAUGCAGGGAAUUUCAUUUUUUAAUCUUUUUAAACCUCAGUGCUUUUGUUUCUUAUCCAGAGAAACUGUGAUAAGAUCUAUGAUACAACGAAGUUUGAUGGAUAAAUUCACAUACUCGUUAUUUCUGCAUUACCCUAUACAUCGAUGGGGGUUGAAUAAAAAUGAGUUUCUAUCAAAGAAGAGAAAGUUGAUCUGUCGGCUCCACCAGGUUUUGUCUUACUUACAUCCGUCAUUCUAAAGAAGAUGGAUAAAGGUGAAGUUUUGAUGAGUAAUAUGGUCUUUGCGGGUGCAAAUGAGUGUUUGAGGCUUAAGAGAUCUCUUAGCUACAGACCAUGGGUACACUACAGUAAAUUAGGUGAUAACUCGGAUGAGGAAUCUACAGAUCGACAACCUCGUUAGCAUCUUCCUCCGAGGCCAAGCCUUCCUAAAGGUGUUCUUCGUGGGUGUUUUAAGUGUACUAAUUGCGAAAAGGUUAAGUGAUGGUGUCCGAGUCAUUCUCUCCUUUGCUCAUUUAUGUCUUAAUUAUGAUGAGACGUUUAUGAUGUUAAAUUAUGAUGUUAAUGGUGUCUUUAAACAAGUCACGGCAAAGUGGCGUCCAGAAGCUACACAAAGGAGUUUAACGAUACACUUAAAUAUAUAGACAACAUACGUUCAAAAUCAGAGCCAUAUAGAAUUUGCAUAAUAGUUCCUUCCUCUUCAUGGAGACCUCACUGCCCUCUUAAAGAAAACAGUGUAUGAGAGACUCAACUGACUAGGAAGAUACAACUACAUCUGAUGUGAAAUUUUAAUUCUACCCUUGCUAAGGGUACUUGAAUAUGGGUACUUGAACAUGUUUGUUUGCUAAUACGACAUACUUCCCUCGUUCCCUUGGCAGGUUUGCACCCAGAGGUCAUGGAAACGUCCAUAUGGUGUUGGUCUGCUUGUUGCAGGGUUGGAUGAAUCAGGAGAACAACUCUACUACAAUUUCUCAAGUGGGAACUACUUCGAAUACCAUGCCUUUGCUAUUGGGGCUCGCUCACAAUCUUCUAAAACUUGUUUGGAACGCAAAUUUGAGUCCUUUGCCAACUCUACCCGUGAUGAUCUGAUCAAAGAUGCACUCUUUGCAAUCAAGGAAACUUUACAAGGAGAUAAGCUAACAAGCUCAAUCUGCAUUGUUGCUGUUGUUGGUCUAGAACACUGGUUGAAGUGUAAUUACGACCCAUCAUCGUCAUCACCAAAAACUUCGUAUAUUUGCACGUAUAUAGGUGUAUAAGUGGCAGCGUCAUGCAUAUAUAUAUGCCUGAAAUGGAGGUGAGAAAAGAGUUGCGAGUACUGUUGAGUAGCUGGUUGUAUUUGAACUAAGAAUGAAAUGUUGAACUAAAAUAUGUGGCCAUUAAUUUGAGUUGCUGCAUGGCUUUG